rnacentral:rRNA from 1 species
GUAGGUGGCAAGCGUUGUCCGGAAUUAUUGGGCGUAAAGCGCGCGCAGGCGGUCCUUUAAGUCUGAUGUGAAAGCCCACGGCUCAACCGUGGAGGGUCAUUGGAAACUGGGGGACUUGAGUACAGAAGAGGAAAGCGGAAUUCCAAGUGUAGCGGUGAAAUGCGUAGAGAUUUGGAGGAACACCAGUGGCGAAGGCGGCUUUCUGGUCUGUAACUGACGCUGAGGCGCGAAAGCGUGGAGAGCAAACAGGAUUAGAUACCCUGGUAGUCCACGCCGUAAACGAUGAGUGCUAAGUGUUAGGGGGGUUUCCGCCCCCCUUAGUGCUGCAGCUAACGCAUUAAGCACUCCGCCUGGGAGUACGGCCGCAAGGCUG